GCGGCCGUAGUCUAGCCUGGUCUAGGACAUCAGCCUGCCACGCUGACGACCCGGGUUCAAAUCCCGGCGGCCGCACCA
rnacentral:tRNA from 1 species